GACGAACGCUGGCGGCGUGCCUAAUACAUGCAAGUCGAACGCAGUGGGGCCGGGUGAGUAACACGUGGGUAACCUCCCAUCAGAGGGGAUAACACUUGGAAACAGGUGCUAAACCGAGACUGAUGGAUGGACCCGCGGGGCAUUAGCUAGUUGGUGAGGUAACGGCUCACCAAGGCCACGAUGCAUAGCCGACCUGAGAUGGUGUCCGGCCAACCGGGGACGGAGACACGGCCCAGACUCCUACGGUAGGCGGCAGUAGGGAAUCUUCGGCAAUGGACGAAAGUCUGACCGAGCAACGCCGCGUGAGUGAAGAAGGUAUACGGAUCGUAAAACUCUGUUGUUAGAGAAGCGGUAGCUAACCAGAAAGCCACGGCUAACUACGUGCCAGCAGCCGCGGUAAUUC
rnacentral:rRNA from 1 species